GGAAGCACCGCGUCCGGCUGCUGGACAAAGACCCUGCGUCAAAACCCGCAAAAGUGACGAGAGCACACAGGCGUUUCUCCUCCAACUUUUACAGCUGUUUUCAAAAACAACCCUCCCAAAAAAGAAGUUACCACAACAAGCAGGUGUGUUUUUCCGGGUAAAAAGUUGCUAAGUUGAGCUGUCUUUGCGUGCCUACCUUAGUGUUAGCUCCAGGGAGAAACAGCGACACUCAGCAACCAGGAGACAGCCGCCUAGCUAACAAGUUUCAGUGCCUUUACCCUUCCACACUGCAUUUACUAGGAACAAGCUCGCAAUGGUUGACUUGUGUACAUCCGUGACGUCACCAUUGCCGGGACGGGUACAGGACGUCGCUGAGGAAGAGCGACACAUUGUGGAUCAUGGUGUCUAUGGAGGAUUUUUUUGUGUGACAAAAUUAAAUAAAUAUAAAGCGAAAUAAAAAAAUAAUUUUAAUGUAAAAUAAUAUGACGGAUUUUUUAAAAGUCAAUUGAUCAAUCCAAUUGUUGUAUAUCAUUAUCUAAACUGUUAUAUUGUACCCAGGGGCGCCGCUAGGGAUUUUGGGCCCCAUUAAAAGAAUCUUUACAGGGCCCCCAACACAGUGUCAUUAUUUUUUCUGUAUUAUAAUUUCAUCAUCAUUAGGGGCCUCUCUGGGCCCCCCUCCAUCAUGGGCCCCUAGAAUCCGUCUCCUUUACC